rnacentral:lncRNA from 1 species
GUUUGUUUAGUGGUUGGAUAAUCAAGCUAGCUAGGUUGAUGAUUGACAAACAAUAGCUAAUGAACAAUUAACAAUGGAGGAUUAGUUGAGCAGCUAUAUCAGCUGAUCUUCAAUCAAUCAUGAGAAUGGACAAAGACAAAGCAACAAUAAUAUAGACAUACAAAUGACUGCAGAUAUUCAAACACUUGGAUCUUGCAUGACACGGAACGAGCUUGCGUACAGCAUGAUUGGUGCGCAAUUGGUGAGAAGAAUCAUGGAAGGCACACACAAACGCAAAGUAUUCCAUUUUCUAAUUGAUCUGGAAGAGAAUAUAGUGGUGAGGUCACGGUUCAUGCAUGCAUGCACCAUCAAUAAUUUGAGCUACUAGUAGGAGAUCC